rnacentral:rRNA from 1 species
AUUAAUGAAUGAAACCCUCUGGUGGGAGGUUGUUGCUGGCCUCAUUGAGAGCAAUGUGCACACCUCUUGCUUUUUGUUUCUCCCUGUGCAUUUUUUUGUAGACUACUUGGGAUAAAUUCCAGGUGUCUAUGUCCUAUUUUACACAAAUGAAUGUUAUCAAGGUUUAUUUGUAAUAAUAAUUGUACAACUUUCAACAACGGAUCUCUUGGCUCUCGCAUCGAUGAAGAACGCAGCGAAAUGCGAUAAGUAAUGUGAAUUGCAGAAUUCAGUGAAUCAUCGAAUCUUUGAACGCAUCUUGCGCUCCUUGGUAUUCCAAGGAGCAUGCCUGUUUGAGUGUCAUUAAAUUUCAGAACACUUGUGGUGUUUUGGAUUCUGGGAGUCUUGCUGGCUCUGUUGGGUCAGCUCUCCUUAAAAGCAUUUAGCUUGGAGAAUGUGAACCUCUCUCUCUCUAUCAAUUGGUGUGAUAAAUCCAUCUACACCAAGGAAAGGCGGGGGAUCUCUCACCAGUCUACUUUGGUAGACAAUUUUGACAACUUGACCUCAAAUCAGGUAGGACUACCCGCUGAACUUAAGCAUAUCAAUAAGCGGAGGAAAAGAAACUAACAAGGAUUCCCUUAGUAACUGCGAGUGAAGUGGGAAAAGCUCAAAUUUAAAAUCUGACUGUCUUUGACUGGUCCGAGUUGUAAUCUAGAGAAGUGCUGCCCGUGCUGGAUCCCAUGUAUAAGUCUCCUGGAAUGGAGUGUCACAGAGGGUGAGAAUCCCGUCUUUGACAUGGGCCUUCCCAGUGCAUUGUGGUGUGCUCUCAAAGAGUCGAGUUGUUUGGGAAUGCAGCUCUAAAUGGGUGGUAAACUCCAUCUAAAGCUAAAUAUUGGCGAGAGACCGAUAGUGAACAAGUACCGUGAGGGAAAGAUGAAAAGAACUUUGGAAAGAGAGUUAAACAGUACGUGAAAUUGUUGAAAGGGAAACGCUUGAAGUCAGUCAUGUUGGCUGGGGAUCAACCCCAACUCUCUUUGGGUGUAUUUCCUGGUUAACAGGCCAACAUCAGUUCUGACAGCUAGAAAAGGCCAAUGGGAAUGUAGCACCUCUGGGUGUGUUAUAGCCCUAUGUCACAUGUAGCAGUUAGGACUGAGGAAUGCAGCGCGCCGCAAGGCCAGGUU